GGUCAAGUGAAGAAGCGCAUACGGUGGAUGCCUUGGCAGUCAGAGGCGAUGAAAGACGUGGUAGCCUGCGAAAAGCUUCGGGGAGUCGGCAAACAGACUUUGAUCCGGAGAUCUCUGAAUGGGGGAACCCACCUAGGAUAACCUAGGUAUCUUGUACUGAAUCCAUAGGUGCAAGAGGCGAACCAGGGGAACUGAAACAUCUAAGUACCCUGAGGAAAAGAAAUCAACCGAGAUUCCCUUAGUAGUGGCGAGCGAACGGGGAUUAGCCCUUAAGCUUCAUUGAUUUUAGCGGAACGCUCUGGAAAGUGCGGCCAUAGUGGGUGAUAGCCCCGUACGCGAAAGGAUCUUUGAAGUGAAAUCGAGUAGGACGGAGCACGAGAAACUUUGUCUGAACAUGGGGGGACCAUCCUCCAAGGCUAAAUACUACUGACUGACCGAUAGUGAACCAGUACCGUGAGGGAAAGGCGAAAAGAACCCCGGAGAGGGGAGUGAAAUAGAACCUGAAACCGUAUGCGUACAAGCAGUGGGAGCCUACUUGUUAGGUGACUGCGUACCUUUUGUAUAAUGGGUCAGCGACUUAUAUUCAGUGGCAAGCUUAACCGUAUAGGGUAGGCGUAGCGAAAGCGAGUCUUAAUAGGGCGUUUAGUCGCUGGGUAUAGACCCGAAACCGGGCGAUCUAUCCAUGAGCAGGUUGAAGGUUAGGUAACACUGACUGGAGGACCGAACCCACUCCCGUUGAAAAGGUAGGGGAUGACUUGUGGAUCGGAGUGAAAGGCUAAUCAAGCUCGGAGAUAGCUGGUUCUCCUCGAAAGCUAUUUAGGUAGCGCCUCAUGUAUCACUCUGGGGGGUAGAGCACUGUUUCGGCUAGGGGGUCAUCCCGACUUACCAAACCGAUGCAAACUCCGAAUACCCAGAAGUGCCGAGCAUGGGAGACACACGGCGGGUGCUAACGUCCGUCGUGAAAAGGGAAACAACCCAGACCGCCAGCUAAGGUCCCAAAGUUGUGGUUAAGUGGUAAACGAUGUGGGAAGGCUUAGACAGCUAGGAGGUUGGCUUAGAAGCAGCCACCCUUUAAAGAAAGCGUAAUAGCUCACUAGUCGAGUCGGCCUGCGCGGAAGAUGUAACGGGGCUCAAACCACACACCGAAGCUGCGGGUGUCACGUAAGUGACGCGGUAGAGGAGCGUUCUGUAAGCCUGUGAAGGUGAGUUGAGAAGCUUGCUGGAGGUAUCAGAAGUGCGAAUGCUGACAUGAGUAACGACAAUGGGUGUGAAAAACACCCACGCCGAAAGACCAAGGGUUCCUGCGCAACGUUAAUCGACGCAGGGUUAGUCGGUUCCUAAGGCGAGGCUGAAAAGCGUAGUCGAUGGGAAACAGGUUAAUAUUCCUGUACUUCUGGUUACUGCGAUGGAGGGACGGAGAAGGCUAGGCCAGCUUGGCGUUGGUUGUCCAAGUUUAAGGUGGUAGGCUGAAAUCUUAGGUAAAUCCGGGGUUUCAAGGCCGAGAGCUGAUGACGAGUCGUCUUUUAGAUGACGAAGUGGUUGAUGCCAUGCUUCCAAGAAAAGCUUCUAAGCUUCAGGUAACCAGGAACCGUACCCCAAACCGACACAGGUGGUCGGGUAGAGAAUACCAAGGCGCUUGAGAGAACUCGGGUGAAGGAACUAGGCAAAAUGGCACCGUAACUUCGGGAGAAGGUGCGCCGGCUAGGGUGAAGGAUUUACUCCGUAAGCUCUGGCUGGUCGAAGAUACCAGGCCGCUGCGACUGUUUAUUAAAAACACAGCACUCUGCAAACACGAAAGUGGACGUAUAGGGUGUGACGCCUGCCCGGUGCCGGAAGGUUAAUUGAUGGGGUUAGCGCAAGCGAAGCUCUUGAUCGAAGCCCCGGUAAACGGCGGCCGUAACUAUAACGGUCCUAAGGUAGCGAAAUUCCUUGUCGGGUAAGUUCCGACCUGCACGAAUGGCGUAACGAUGGCGGCGCUGUCUCCACCCGAGACUCAGUGAAAUUGAAAUCGCUGUGAAGAUGCAGUGUAUCCGCGGCUAGACGGAAAGACCCCGUGAACCUUUACUGUAGCUUUGCACUGGACUUUGAGCCUGCUUGUGUAGGAUAGGUGGGAGGCUUUGAAGCGUGGACGCCAGUUCGCGUGGAGCCAUCCUUGAAAUACCACCCUGGCAUGCUUGAGGUUCUAACUCUGGUCCGUGAUCCGGAUCGAGGACAGUGUAUGGUGGGCAGUUUGACUGGGGCGGUCUCCUCCUAAAGAGUAACGGAGGAGUACGAAGGUGCGCUC
rnacentral:rRNA from 1 species